rnacentral:rRNA from 1 species
UACGGGGGGGGCAAGCGUUGUUCGGAAUUACUGGGCGUAAAGGGCGCGUAGGCGGUUCGCUAAGUUGAAUGUGAAAACUCUGGGCUUAACCCAGAGCCUGCAUUCAAUACUGGCGGGCUAGAGGACGGCAGAGGCAAGUGGAAUUGGUAGUGUAGCAGUGAAAUGCGUAGAUAUUACCAGGAACACCAAUGGCGAAGGCAGCUUGCUGGGCCACUCCUGACACUGAGGUACGAAAGCGUGGGGAGCGAACAGG